CUGCAACCCGCCUGCAUGAAGUCGGAAUCGCUAGUAAUCGCGGAUCAGCAUGCCGCGGUGAAUACCGUUCCCGGGCCUUGUACACACCGCCCGUCACACCAUGAGAGUCGGGAACACCCGAAGUCCGUAGCCUAACUUUAACGAGGGGGCGCGGCCGAAGGUGGGUUCGAUAAUUGGGGUGAAGUCGUAACAAGGUACC
rnacentral:rRNA from 1 species